UGACACUGUCCAGGAAGUAAACCUUUCCAGGAAGUUAAUCUCUUGGGGUCUUCAAACUUCUUUCUAACAGAAGAAAGUUGGUCUAACUUGGGAUGGCCUGCACAUGUCUCCUAACAUCACAGCAGGCGGAGUUUGCUCAGUUGUCAUCACGUGACCAAAGACCUAAAACUUGUCACAGCAUGGCCAGAGUCCAAUGGACGGCCGGACGAAGACCAAAGGUGCCACCCACACCUGCUAACGCUGAGGAAGACCAUGAGAUGCCGUUGUAAUUGCCAAAGAAACGUUUGGAGGUGUGUGGAGGAUUUCCAGAACAUCAAAUCUUCCUUUUUUUUUUUGUUGUAAGCGGCACUCACUUACUUAAGCCAUCAGCCGGUCAUUAAAAAUGUAAAAUUAACAUCUUUUAAAAGUGGAACCUGAUUCGCUUCUGUGCUCGGGAGGCAGUGAGGCGCGACGCUCGCAUAUGAAAUGCUUUCGGUCAUCCCCCUGGCAACAAGGGGAAGGGAGAAAAAGGUGCAUUGAGUGAAACGAGAGCAGAUUGCGUUUUAUACUUUAUUUAGAGAGUUAUUCUAGACACUGAGUCACAGACGCCCUGCCAUCACAGAAAUCCUUCCUGCUCAAUUGAGGCUGUUGAAGGGAAAUGUUGAAGGCUCGGGUCCCCGUCGGGAAGUAUUUUUUUUAUACGGCAAAUAACAUAAAUAGAUGCGCUAUGAGUGUCAACUUCUUCCUUUUUUCUUGAUGUAACAAGGAAAGGGGAGAGCGCAGAGCUACUAGAAGUGCGUGUUAAGUUUAAUGCAUCUGUUAACAGCCAGGAUCCUUUAUGAAAUGUGCUCUCGUUUCACACUAAUGUUAGGCCAUGGGGCUCGGCCAUAAACCUUUUACUUGUAUUAAUGCGUUUCAGAUGUGCGUGGGGUGUAAUCUGCUCCAUAUUGUCAAUUGUCCUGCACAAACACUGUAUCCAGUUCCUUCAUGUAGCUUAAACUCCGUGUUGUAUGUACAAGAGCACCGACCCACAAUUAGCUUCGUAUCGCUGGCUAAUAUUGGCCAAUCGCAGAUCACACAGCGUAUCAUGGAUCUAUACCUGCAUAUAAUUAACAAACUGAUAAUAUCGCAACAACUGUUGUACUGGUUACCAUGAAACGUUGCUUAUGUUAGCGAUGUUAUGACUUUUCCACGUCGUGCCAUGAAGAAGUUGAUGUUUUUUGGUUUUCAGUAAAAUGUGGAAUACUUGGGUUUAUGACCAAAUACCUGCAACAUUAACGGAAUCAGCCUCAAACGCACUUUGCAAUUUGGGCUAAUAAGCUAAUAGCGUGUUAGCAUGCCGAUGUUAGCAUUUAGCUUAAAGCCACAUGGCUCUUAGUCUUGCUCAGUAUGUGAAUCUUGGUCACAAUUCUUCAAAUUUGAAAAAUGACUUCUUAGCACAAGGUUUGAAAAGCUGUCAUUUAUUCUUGUGCUGUGAAAGUUUUCUCAAACUGCCACUUUCAAGGUCGAUAGUGAACCUUCCCAGCUCAUCUUUUAAGAAAUUAUUUGAAAGGAUCCUAUCAAAAGUGUCAGAAUGUUUUUAGUAAUAAAAAUGCUUUGUAAAACGCACAGUGCAAACCAGUAGGUUACCCUACACUGUGACCUUAAUGAUAGGAAAAUGCAUUCUUCUAAUCUCAUAGUUUUAACCACUCAUUAGCCGAAUCUUCACAUUUCAUCACAGCUUCCGAAAUCUCCUUUUUAACUUAAGGGGCAACUUUCUCGCUGAGAAUUUAAAGGCACAAAUCAUUUCCCCUUUUUUUCAUCAUCAAUCAUAAUUACGCCACCAUUUCUUCACCUUGGAUCAAUUUGUGCCAUUGAGAUCAAACAGCAGUGUUAAUAGGUGCCCUGAUUUCUCUAAAGGUAAUCUAUAUCAUGUGGUGCGAGCAGUGGCCUUUCAAGCCUCACGUUAGCUCAUGCUGCAUAUUGUUUGUCACUGAAACCCUGCAGCUAAAAUGUAAAUGUAUUCUUUGUUCCCAUUUGUGUGGUUGAUCCCACGCUCGGUCAGUCAUUUAGAGAAUUAUGGCUGAAAUGUGCAAAAAAAACCCUAAAAUGAUUUAUUUUUAUGAGUUAUACUCAACACUGUAUAUAAGUAUUUUUUUAAAGCUUAUAUUCAACAGGGCAUACUAAGUUUUGCGUGAUGGAAAGAUCCUAUUUGUGUUCGACAAGGGAACAUGCUCUAAUCAUCAUUGUUUCAGUCGCAAAGCAAACUUGGUCUUCAAAGGUUUCACCCGUGGUGCAAUUACACCAAAUUACUCUCACCAUUUGGAGUCGGUCAGGGGCUCUGUUUCAA